rnacentral:rRNA from 1 species
CGGACGGGUGAGUAAUGUCUGGGAAACUGCCCGAUGGAGGGGGAUAACUACUGGAAACGGUAGCUAAUACCGCAUAACGUCGCAAGACCAAAGAGGGGGACCUUCGGGCCUCUUGCCAUCGGAUGUGCCCAGAUGGGAUUAGCUAGUAGGUGGGGUAACGGCUCACCCAGGCGACGAUCCCUAGCUGGUCUGAGAGGAUGACCAGCCACACUGGAACUGAGACACGGUCCAG